rnacentral:piRNA from 1 species
UGGUUAUUCUUUGGGAGAUAAUCCUAGAGU